AAUCCAUGAUGUGGCCAGUCUCUCAGCAUUUCCUUAAAUCUAUCCUAAGCUUCAUAGAGAGAUUUAGAGUCUGUUUGCUUGAAUCUUGCAAUAAGAUUACGGAGGUG